AGCAGCCGCGGUAAUUCCAGCUCCAAUAGCGUAUAUUAAAGUUGUUGCAGUUAAAAAGCUCGUAGUUGAAUUUCGGGAUCAAUAUGUUGGUCGUGCCUUGGUACGUACUGGCAUUAUCGAUUCCUACCUUCUGAAGAACCUCGAUGUCAUUAAUUUGGUGUCUUGGGGAAUCAGGACUGUUACUUUGAAAAAUUAGAGUGUUUAAAGCAGGCUCGCGCUUGAAUACAUUAGCAUGGAAUAAUGAAAUAGGACGUUUGAUUCUAUUUUGUUGGUUUCUAGGAUCGACGUAAUGAUUAAUAGGGAUAGUUGGGGGCAUUAGUAUUCAAUUGUCAGAGGUGAAAUUCUUGGAUUUAUUGAAGACUAACUACUGCGAAAGCAUUUGCCAAGGAUGUUUUCAUUAAUCAAGAACGAAAGUUAGGGGAUCGAAGACGAUCAGAUACCGUCGUAGUCUUAACCAUAAACUAUGCCGACUAGGGAUCGGAUGAUGUUAAUUUUUAAUGACUCAUUCG
rnacentral:rRNA from 1 species